GGCGAUGGGGCGCUAUAAUGCAGUCGACGAACUCUGGUAUUGAUUGGUGCUUGCAUCAUGAUUUACAUUUGAGUGAGUGGCGAACUGGUGAGUAACACGUGGGAAACCUGCCCAGAAGCGGGGGAUAACACCUGGAAACAGAUGCUAAUACCGCAUAACAACUUGGACCGCAUGGUCCGAGUUUGAAAGAUGGCUUCGGCUAUCACUUUUGGAUGGUCCCGCGGCGUAUUAGCUAGAUGGUGGGGUAACGGCUCACCAUGGCAAUGAUACGUAGCCGACCUGAGAGGGUAAUCGGCCACAUUGGGACUGAGACACGGCCCAAACUCCUACGGGAGGCAGCAGUAGGGAAUCUUCCACAAUGGACGAAAGUCUGAUGGAGCAACGCCGCGUGAGUGAAGAAGGGUUUCGGCUCGUAAAACUCUGUUGUUAAAGAAGAACAUAUCUGAGAGUAACUGUUCAGGUAUUGACGGUAUUUAACCAGAAAGCCACGGCUAACUACGUGCCAGCAGCCGCGGUAAUACGUAGGUGGCAAGCGUUGUCCGGAUUUAUUGGGCGUAAAGCGAGCGCAGGCGGUUUUUUAAGUCUGAUGUGAAAGCCUUCGGCUCAACCGAAGAAGUGCAUCGGAAACUGGGAAACUUGAGUGCAGAAGAGGACAGUGGAACUCCAUGUGUAGCGGUGAAAUGCGUAGAUAUAUGGAAGAACACCAGUGGCGAAGGCGGCUGUCUGGUCUGUAACUGACGCUGAGGCUCGAAAGUAUGGGUAGCAAACAGGAUUAGAUACCCUGGUAGUCCAUACCGUAAACGAUGAAUGCUAAGUGUUGGAGGGUUUCCGCCCUUCAGUGCUGCAGCUAACGCAUUAAGCAUUCCGCCUGGGGAGUACGGCCGCAAGGCUGAAACUCAAAGGAAUUGACGGGGGCCCGCACAAGCGGUGGAGCAUGUGGUUUAAUUCGAAGCUACGCGAAGAACCUUACCAGGUCUUGACAUACUAUGCAAAUCUAAGAGAUUAGACGUUCCCUUCGGGGACAUGGAUACAGGGUGGCUGCAUGAUUGUCGUCAGCUCGUGUCGUGAGAUGGUUGGUUAAGUCCCGCAACGAGCGCACCUUAUAUCAGUUGCCAGCAUAAGUGGCACUCUGAUGAGACUGGCGGUGAACAACCGGCAGGAAGGGUGGGGG
rnacentral:rRNA from 1 species